GACGGACACCGUUUUAUCACGCUGUCACGUAGACAAGAACGACCAUCAUAUCCAGGCUGUCUACAAGUUUAUGCACGUUAAUCUCUUUAAUUCACUUGCUUCUACGAUUAGGGGAGCUACUUAAAUGAAAUUUCAAUUUCUUCUAUUGGCUACGUACUUUUUAUAAUUCCUACUUAUAAAUAUUUAUUACUACUUGUUUGAAUUUCAAGUGCUAUACAUAUUUGAAAAUUAUUUGUUAUAAAGUCACCUAUACGUAACUUGGAAUGGAACUAAGUGCUGUUCGCAAGUACAAAUUAUCUGAAACACCAACUAAUGGGUACAGUGCAAUAAAAAUACCAGAACUAAAUUAUAACAUGUUUAAGAUUUUAAUUAUGUUUUUGAUAGAUACUUAACUCAUAUAGCUUAUUGACAAUUCUUCAUAGCGUUAAAAUUUUCACCAUUCAGCUAGUAAUUGUAUUAACCUACAUUAUUGUUACUGUUUUGUGUUAUUUUGCGUGUUUGGUUACUUAUGCCUCUUCAUUAUAAGAUGUGUACCCUGUACUGAAAUUAUAAUUAGGGUGUAUGUUAAGCUUAUUUGUCCAAAAUACUAAUAUUGACACCCAUCCGUGUCUAGGCAAAACUAUGGAGAUUACUUUUGGUAUAGUGGUUAACGAAAUUUACAUUAAGUACUUUAAAUGCACCACUUUUUUUUAAUAUUCGAACUUUGUUAUGAUGAAGGCUAAAAUGUUGUAGAAUAAUUUCCAUAUGUGCAAGUGUAGGUGUAUUGAAAAAAAUAUGUCAGUAUAUUCGUAUUCAAAAUAAUUUCUUCAACCUCUGCAUUGCCGAUUACCAUGUAACAUUCUCUAAAAUAAAGUUCUUUUGAUCUAAA